AGGCGACGAUCCCUAGCUGGUCUGAGAGGAUGACCAGCCACACUGGAACUGAGACACGGUCCAGACUCCUACGGGAGGCAGCAGUGGGGAAUAUUGCACAAUGGGCGCAAGCCUGAUGCAGCCAUGCCGCGUGUAUGAAGAAGGCCUUCGGGUUGUAAAGUACUUUCAGCGGGGAGGAAGGGAGUAAAGUUAAUACCUUUGCUCAUUGACGUUACCCGCAGAAGAAGCACCGGCUAACUCCGUGCCAGCAGCCGCGGUAAUACGGAGGGUGCAAGCGUUAAUCGGAAUUACUGGGCGUAAAGCGCACGCAGGCGGUUUGUUAAGUCAGAUGUGAAAUCCCCGGGCUCAACCUGGGAACUGCAUCUGAUACUGGCAAGCUUGAGUCUCGUAGAGGGGGGUAGAAUUCCAGGUGUAGCGGUGAAAUGCGUAGAGAUCUGGAGGAAUACCGGUGGCGAAGGCGGCCCCCUGACGAAGACUGACGUCAG
rnacentral:rRNA from 1 species